rnacentral:rRNA from 1 species
CGGCGGACGAGUGAGUAACACGUGGGUAACCUACCUAUAAGACUGGGACAACUUCGGGAAACCGGAGCUAAUACCGGAUAAGAUAUCGAACCGCAUGGUUCGAUAGUGAAAGAUGGUUUUGCUAUCACUUAUAGAUGGACCCGCGCCGUAUUAGCUAGUUGGUGAGGUAACGGCUCACCAAGGCAACGAUACGUAGCCGACCUGAGAGGGUGAUCGGCCACACUGGAACUGAGACACGGUCCAGACUCCUACGGGAGGCAGCAGCA